rnacentral:rRNA from 1 species
AUUGAACGCUGGCGGCAUGCCUUACACAUGCAAGUCGAACGGUAACAGGUCUUCGGAUGCUGACGAGUGGCGAACGGGUGAGUAAUACAUCGGAACGUGCCCGAUCGUGGGGGAUAACGAAGCGAAAGCUUUGCUAAUACCGCAUAAGAUCUAAGGAUGAAAGCAGGGGACCGCAAGGCCUUGCGCGAACGGAGCGGCCGAUGGCAGAUUAGGUAGUUGGUGGGAUAAAAGCUUACCAAGCCGACGAUCUGUAGCUGGUCUGAGAGGACGACCAGCCACACUGGGACUGAGACACGGCCCAGACUCCUACGGGAGGCAGCAGUGGGGAAUGUUGGACAAUGGGCGAAAGCCUGAUCCAGCCAUGCCGCGUGCAGGAUGAAGGCCUUCGGGUUGUAAACUGCUUUUGUACGGAACGAAAAGACUCUUUCUAAUAAAGAGGGUCCAUGACGGUACCGUAAGAGUAAGCACCGGCUAACUACGUGCCAGCCGCCGCAGUAA